GUUGAGCCAGCGCAGGUCCAGGAUAGGCCUCCAGCCUCCAUUCGGGUGAGGAAGUACUGGGAAUAGAGGCCUUUCCUUUGGAAUUGAUCUGGUACCCUCUCCACUACCCAGACAGUAAGGAGGCAUGAAACGUCUUGGUGCAGAAGAGGUUCGGGAGAGGGAUCCCUGAAAAGGGACGGGGAAGGAGGGGCAGGAGGGGGCAGAGUAGUGAAAAGGAUGGUUAAGCCCGAUGUGAGGAUCUCUCGCACCCAACGGUCGGUGGUUAUAGCGAACCAGGGUGGGUAGUAUGGCCUCAACCAGUGAUGGAAUAAACCGCCUGUGUUGUGCGGAAUCUCUGUAAGGGGGAUGGCACGCAGUCCUUCAAUUGACACGUCAAACCUGCUGCCCGGCGUCUUAUUGAUUGGACGCUUUGUUGGGCUGCUGGUGACACUUCUGUGGACGUUGUCUCUGUCUGGGUUGGUCAUAUGGCCUAAAGCGGGGCGCGGCAUAAGAGAACCAUCUCUGCUUAUUGUAUCUCCUGCAUCUGUACGGUGGCGUGUACAUUCUCAGCAUUCUCAAUGUGGUGCAAGAGUCCUUGCCCGGGUGGAAUAUUUAAUCAGUAUUUUGGGCAAAAAGCAACUGUUUGUCAAAAGGUAAGUCCUCUACCUUUUAUUGUAGGUCUUUUGGGACCAAUGCGAGGUGGAGCCAGGAGGCGCACAAGCAUGACCACCGAGAAGGCCGUAGUCUGCAAUGUCGAGGGUGAUCCAUAGCGCUGUAUAGCCUUCCUGGACAACCGCUUUCAGCAUCUGCCUCUUGGCAUCAGGCAAAACACUGACGUGGAUCUGCAGCCAGGGACGAUAGAGAAGGAACUGAUGGGUGGCACAACUGUGGACAUGAUCCAGUAAGGCGCUAACACCUUGAGGAACAGAGACAAGGUUGAGGAUCUGGUACCUUCUUCCUCAUUGAUAAAAGCCAGUGCUGAAAUGUUAGAAGACAUCACCAAUACAUCUUUGCUAGCCAGGACUGGAGCUAUCAUCAAAUAGUUCUAAACCUGUGCCUACUGAUACACUGGAGGUCUGUUCUUUCAUUAGUCUAGAAUGGUAUUGUUCCCUAAAGCUGACAGAUUUACUACACCAACCCUCUCUGAUUUCAACAUACUGUGACCUUCUGCAUAUCCCUUGGCAAUGGGACAAAAGGAGAAUGGGGAUGAUGGAUCCUGUGGGCUCAAGAAAAUUAGAGGGACUUUUAGAGAAGAACCAUGUAAUCAUUUUUCUCCUUCUCCCCCUCCUUUCACCCCCUUCCCAUAUUUAUUCUUGACAGGAGUGUUGGAAGUCCAGAUCCAUCUGAAAAGUGGGUUGUGCCCAU